rnacentral:rRNA from 1 species
UGCGAAGCGAAGCAGUGAUGUGAAGCAAAUCGCACCAAAGCCGGUCCCAGUUCGGAUAAGAGGCUGAAACUCGCCUCUUUGAAGUCGGAAUCGCUAGUAAUCGCAGAUCAGCAUGUUGCGGUGAAUACGUUCCCGGGUCUUGUACACACCGCCCGUCAAACCAUGAGAGUCACCAACACCCGAAGUCCGCUUUGGCGGCCUAAGGUGGGGGAGAUGAUUGGGGUUAAGUCGUAACAAGGUAUC